GGGUCCCGGGACCCGAGCCCGCCCACCUCUGGGCCGGCGCUAGCGGAGGGGUUCGCUCCCCGUAAGCCGGGCCCGGGAUGUGCUCCUUGCAAGCCUGACAGUGGACCUAGCGCGGAGACCUGACGUCCGACCAACUCCUGCCUCAGCAGACCGUUUGGCGUGGCUGUGUGCGCCUCCAAGCUGGGUGGGCCCAGAAGAAAGAAACCUGGGACGGAGGAAAAGCCCAGCGCGCUACCAGGACCCUGGAGGCGGGACUCCGAAGGAGGGGCUUAGGAGCAUGGUCAUUGUCCAUCAUUCAUGUUCAGCGGCGUGCGACCAGCCUCCCGGGCAGGGUCACUUCAGGAUAGUCCGAAAGCACACCUUUGAACUUGAAGAGCAGGCAGCUGAUGCCCUUAAGCCCUGGAGAGGGACAACGUGUGUCAUCACAGAAGCCAAGAACCUGUCCAAAAGGAGGUCCAGGCUGAACCUGCAGAGCUUCGUGUGACCUGGAACUCACAAUGCAAGAUGGCCUUGAACUUCUGAUCCUUUCGUCUCCACCUCUGGAGUGCUGGGAUUACAGGAGAGUGUCACCACCAAGUUCAUAUGGUGAUAGGGAUCGAACUCAGGGCUUUGUUCAUACUGAACAAACACACUACCAACUGAGCUGCACCCCAAGCCCUGAUGCAUGCUUUUUCUUUUGUUACUGGAGAUCAAACACAGAAUCUCAUGCAUACUAAGCCCUCAUUCUAUCACUAACCUAUAUUCCCCUGUCUCCAAGAUACAUUUUUGUUUGGUUUUUGUUUAUUUUGAGACAAGAUCUCGUGUGGCUCAGGCUAGCCUCAAACUCGCUAUGUAGCUGAAGCUGGCCUUGAACUUCUGAUUCUCUUUCCUCCACCUCCCAAAUACUAGGAUUACUAAAUUUGGUCCUCUGUAAACAGGAAGUGCUCUCAAUCACUAAGCCAUCUCUCCAGCCACCUCAAUAAUAAUAAUAAUAAUAAUUAUUAUUAUUAUUAGUCAUUUUGAGGCAGGGUUUCCCUAUCCAACUGCUGGGACUAAAGGCAUGCGCCACCACGCCUGGCACCUCAAUUACUCUUAAAAGUCUUGCUAUGUUGUCUACAGAUGCACACCAGUGCCCAGCUCAAGAUACAGCUUUGAGCCCCCAAGGACAUCAAGUGAAAUCCAUCCUCACCUUGUGCCUGCCUAUGCAGGAACUUGAACUAGAGUCACGUGUCUUGAGACAUUUUGGGCAUCUCUGUGUCUCCCAAAGGGUCUUUCCAAUCCCACCCCAGCAGCUGUGUGCUGUCCCAGGUCCACCAAAGGUGCCACAAAUGCCCAUUCCUUUCUUAGUGAUGGCAUCCUGUAUGCAAAAAGUGUUUGAAGUCUUCAGGGGCCUCAGCCUCUGAAGGCCCUUCUUAUAUUGGAGAAUCCCACUUGCCUUACAAAAUACUCCACCCCAGGACCCUGGAAGCUGAAAAUGUUGGCACUCAGUUAUCCAGAAUGCCUUGGUAGCUGAGCCAGGUCUAUGACCUGUGUGUCCUGGGACUCUCCCCCAUCAGUACCACACAUAUUUCUGAAUCAGAGGUGAGAAGGGCAGAGCAGAGGGGACCAUGUACGAUUCCCCAAGGUAGGGGAGUAGCAGCCGGGCCACAUUCAAGACCAGCAGUAGGGAACUCAGAACCCUGGGCAAUGACUACAUAGCCUCUAAGAUUUGUCUGCAGAUUCUCUUAAGGAUUACAUAAGUGAUCAAGACUUUAAAAUUUUUUAAAUUAUAUUUAUUUGUUUUAUGGUGGGGUAGGAAGUUGUGUAUAUGACAGGGCACAUGUGUGAAGAUCAGAGGACAACCCUCUGGAGUCAGUUUUCUCUUUCCAACAUGUGGAUCCUGAGGAUCAAAGUCAAGUCAUUGGGCUUGGUAGCAAGUCUUCACUUGCAGAGCUACCUCCCUGCUACCAACCCCAAGUCCUUCGAAUAAAUUUCUGUUUAGUUAGGGGGGUGUAGUGGCUAAUGUCUAUAACCCCAGCACUUGGGAGACUGAGGCUAGAAGAUUACCAUAGGUUUGAGGCUAUUCUAGGGUGCAUAAUGAAUUUCAGGCCAGCCUGGGCUAUACAGUGAGAUACUGCCCCCACAAAAAUAAUAAAAUAAAA